rnacentral:ncRNA from 1 species
UUAAAGUUUUAUUCUUGCUUUGUUUAUUUGUGCUAAGGACGAUUUACAUGUAUUGAUUAAUUGUCUAGAUGAGUUGAUAAUUGGCAGUAAUUAAUAUUAUACUAUUAAUUGAUUUUAGAUAUAGUACUCUUUUUAUGUAUCGGUUAAAUGCGUGCCAGCUGCCGCGGUUAGACGUGGGAUACUUAUAAAUAUAUUCUGUUUUAAAGUUAACUUUUAUUUGUCAUUAAUUAGUGAUUUAUUUUGGUGGAAUGAUUAAUUUUAUUUUAUUAUGAUUAAUUAGGUUUAGUGAGGCUUUGAAAUGUUUUUUGGAAACUAGGAUUAGAUACCCUAUUAUUGAACGCUUAAAGUUAUAUAUCUGAGUAGUAAUAGUUAUGUUCUUGAAACUCAAAGAAUUUGGCGGUGUUUUAGUCCUUUCAGAGGAAUCUGUUCUGUAAUUGAUAUUACACGAUUUAGUAUACUUGAUUUUGUUAUCAGUUUAUAUACCGCCGUUAUCAGAUUAUCUUGUGGAGAGUAUUAAUUUUCGUUAUGUUUAAUUAGUCUUUAUGUCAGGUCAAGGUGUAGUUUAUGGUCAAGAAGAAAUGGAUUACAAUAAAUUUAUUUAUAUGGAUGAUAUUUCUGAAGAAUAUUUGAAAGUGGAUUUGAUUGUAAAUUGAUUUGGAAUUUUCUAUUGAUUAUGGCUCUAAAAUUUACACAUCGCCCGUCGCUCUCAUUUUAAGAUGAGAUAAGUCGUAACAUAGUAGGUGUACCGGAAGGUGUACCUAGAAUG